UUAUAGUACUUGGAUGUGUGAUUUGUCUUUGAUCCUGAGUUCACUGAUGGCAUUUUUCACCCUACUCAUUUUUGGUCUCCUUUAUACCCUGAAAGAUAUUUCACAAGAAUGGACAUCUGACUACUCAUCUGAAACACAGGACACUCGAGGACAGUAGAACCAGCAAUGUAAACUUUGAGAUAAAGGCAUUUUGGACCAAGGACCUGUACUUUUCUACAGAGACAAAUAAUUAUAAUGUGUGAGAGCAAAUAAAAAAUUUCAGAUA